GCAAACUUGGUCAUUUAGAGGAAGUAAAAGUCGUAACAAGGUUGAUUGAUCCUUACCAUCACGUACGGAAGCCUUUGCAGCUGGAGACAGUACGCUGGACGACUCAAAAUAAUUCAGCUUCAUGCAAGUCGGCGCACAUGCUGGCGACACUUUCGAAUUGACGGGGAACCCCUAAAGCCCUUCACACCAAGCUAGUCUGGGAAACCAGGUAGUGGCCUGUCUUAGCAUACAGGGUAUGGUAACAGAGGAAGGUUCCGUAGGUGAACCUUCGGAAGGAUCAUUACCGUAACGUCGGUCGCCCAUUGGGCGGCCACAUACGUCUACCACCCUUGAUUUUGAGCACCUUUUGUUUCCUCGGCGGGGACGCCCGCCUGCGAGGACCCCCCAAAAACCUUUUGCAGUAGCAGUAUUUGUCUGAAAAACAAAAUAAUCGUUAAAACUUUCAACAAUGGAUCUCUUGGUUCUGGCAUCGAUGAAGAACGCAGC
rnacentral:misc_RNA from 1 species